ensembl:lncRNA
UUCCCAUAUAAAUAGAUUCUGCCCAUUGUCCCAAUUUUCUUUCUUGUAAAGAAAAGGGUAUUUGUUUUUUCCACUGAAAAUCUAAAUCCCCAUUCCAAUGACCACUGUUCCACUCUUUUGAUUGUUUCCUGCAUCUGUUUCACCACAUAUUCCACAUUCCUACCUCUUUUCCAUAGUGCCCCAUCAUCUGCAAAUAAAGAUCUCCCUAUAUUAUGUGUAUUGUAUGUAUUUUCAUAUACAUCAUCAAUCAUUAUUGAAAACAAUAACGGACUAAUCACACUUCCCUGCGGUGUUCCAUUGUCCACCAAAUGGCUGUCCGACACACACCUUCCCACUCUUACUUCUAUAGAGUGCCCCACCAAAAAUUGUUUAAGCCAUCUGAACAUUUUAUCCAAUAUUCCUAAUUUCUUAAUUUUGAUUAAUAGUCCCUCUUUCCACAGUAAAUCAUAGUCUCGCCUCGAAGUAUUACCCGUAAGGAAUCAGAACAUGUAUCUUAAAAUGUUAUUUAUUUUUACUUCAAUGCACUAGUUUAGCUAAGUUAGUUAACAUUAGUUUCUUUCCAUAACAAUAUAUUUUUUAAUCAAGCUAACUUCAUAACCUUCAUGGAUAUUCAUCGAUUGUUCUAUCUGACUCUUUUACAGCAAUUUCUGACUGCAAAAGCAUCCUGUGUCUGCCAUCCCACUGCAAGAGUGUCCGGGUCCACGUCACUGACUGCACCAUCCCACUGCAAGAGUGUCCUGGUCCACCUCACUGACCUGCUAGGCAUAAAACGGUGAAUGUUUCUGACUGAAAAAGCGAUUCCAAUGUUAAAAAGCGCAUGUGUCAUGGUCUAGCUAAAUUAGACUUGCCUAGUUCCCAUGUGUUUUUAUGUUUUAUAUGUGCAACCUGCUGCUAGUAAAGGUUGCUCUUUCCGUUGCUAUAGGUCAGUUGGAAUUUUAGGCCGGUCAGAAAAUAGGGGCAGUACAUGGUCGGUCUCAGCUCAUCACAUUCUUGUUUUAAUAUUUGUUUUGGUUUUGUUUGGCUGAUGGGAUGUGGAGGUCCACUCUACAUUUGCAUUUCUGCACACGAUCCCGGUAAUCAUCAAGAGAACAAGCCCCAUUUAGAUAUGGAGAGAAGACUAAAUCCCUGAAGUCAAGUGCAUUACUAUCGGUGUUCGUCACACAGAAAGCAUUUGAACUCCUACAAGGGACAACUAUCUUCACCAAAUUGGACCUCCGUAACGCCUACCACCUGGUCCGGGUCAAGGAGGGAGACGAGUGGAAGACGGCCUUCAACACACCUACAGGUCAUUAUGAAUAUUUAGUUAUGCCAUUUGUUGUCC